GCCAACUUAUGCUUAAUAAGGCGUUUCACACGUUGGCUUCCACGAGCAGGUUGUUGCUGUGAAGCAGCUCAAUCUUGAAGGGCUGCAAGGGAAUCAAGAAUUCAUUGUUGAGGUUCUGAUGCUCAGCCUGUUGCAUCACCCAAACCUCGUGAACUUGAUCGGUUAUUGCACUGAUGGUGAUCAGAGGCUCCUUGUUUAUGAGUUUAUGCAGUUGGGUAGCUUGGAGAAUCAUUUGUUUGGUACAUUUUUUUUCUUGUUGGAUUUCUUAAUCGAUUCGACUACCUGUUUUUGGAUUGGUUUCAAUGUUUGGACCACUCUCUAGUUAGUCUUAAUUGUUGAAAACAGAUGAUAGUGACACAUAAAGAAAAGGGGAAAUAUCAUUUAACUAACUUCACCUAAGCAUUUCUUAGUCCAUCUCUGCUUAGUUUUUAUUUUUCUUCAGGUUUUCUUUCCUGUCUUGAUGCGCCCUUAACACNGUCCAACUACCACGUCAAUAAUCUCCUAAUUAUAGACAUCCGACGCUAUAAAUUUUGUGUUUUAUUUUUAUUGAGGUUUAUAAAUAAUCGAAACUCUACUUACUUAAGAAGUAGCCUAGUUGCCUAAGUCAUUACAAAUUUAAAGGCAUUGUACAAACGAGAUUAAAUGGCAAUAAAAGAACUCAUAAAGUUCAUAUAUGACUAAUUUUAAAGAACAAUUUAAUUGAAUGCAUUUCUAGAAGGAUGUGAUAAUCAUAUAAAAGUGUUUGAAUUACCGAAUUAGACAUGUAAUUGGACCCCAUUUCCAUAAGUCAUAACUCAUAACACGAUCUUCUUGAGAAUUUGUGAAGCCUACCAGUCUAUUUUGUCCACUUAUACAAAUAUCAAAUAUUGAACCAAUAGAGAUAUGAAAAUUCUUGUGCAUUUGUCAAGAAAAUCUCAAACCAAUGACAAUAGUCUAUCACACUUUCUGUCUGGCAUUUUCUCAUCAUCCAAUUGUCAAAGCCAAUUAUUGGGAUCCAUCACUAUCUUUGGAAAAAAAAAAUUAUUAUAAUGUGAAAUACUUAGAGGUUUUCAAUUUAUCAAUCCUUUAUUAGGCUUUAACAAUUUUUUUUUGCUUGUUCUUUCGUGAUCCAGCGAUGAACAAAUAUGAUGUCACUAUCAUCUUUUUUAUUUGGACCCAUUUUGGCUAGUUUAAUUAAUUUCACUCGUGACAUUUAGAAUUCAAAACGAGAUCUUGAAAAUUUUAUGUGAAUAUUCUUUUUAUCUUUUUGAAACAAUUCAUGUGACUCAUUUAUUAUUUUGGGGGAUAUAUAUAUGUUACUGGAUGGAUUUUCAUUGUGUAAAUGAAUGAGUACAGAAAUCAAAUCAAAUCUAAUCGUUUCAUUUAUUUUUUAAUUAAAGAAAUUAAUAUGAUUACUCGAAAUACAUGCUUAUAACUCAUCCUCUUCUGAUGUUGUUAUGUAUGUACUGAAAUAAUAAGAACAAUUAAUUGUGACGUAAUUAUUAAUGAAAGCGGUCGGUCUGUUUACUUUCAAAUUUAUUUUAUUUAAUUAAUUAAAUUCAAAUUAUUGUUGAUGGUGCUGCUAACAAUAAUAGCGAUUACAUAUAAAUCGAUAAUGAAAGUAAAUAUGUUUACAUAAUCGAAAUAUAACUUUAUAAAUUAUUAGCAAUUCAAAAAAAUAUGAGAUGCGUUCUCUUUUGGCGAUACACCUUCUUCACAAACUCGCUAGUUAUACUUUGUCUUUAUCUGAUGUAAUAAUUUAAAAGUCGAGUUUUCCAACUUGACUUUCUGAUUUGAAUUAAUACAAGCAUACAUUCUCCCUCAAAAAAAGAAAAGAAAUAUGAGAUGAGGAUAUUCUGUUGUCUUAUUCUUUUAAUUUUUCCACAACCAUUAGCUUUUUACGUGCUCUAAAUAAUUCGACGUAACAUAUAAGAACGAUAUUUAAUACAUUUUUUAAAGAUUAGGCAGUCAAAAAAGCAAAGCUAUGCCAUAAUUUUAUUUCCCCACUAUCAGUUUCCCUAAAUCAUUCACACCAUUACAUCCCAAUUUUGGUAAUAAUAAUUAAAGCACCACUACACCAAUGAUCUCUAGUGUGAUUCUUGUUUUCACAUCCUCUUUAGUCAACCAUUUAGGCCCCACCCAAACAAAUAAAAUAACCCAAAAUCAAAUCUAUCCCAACAAUUUGAAAAUAAGAAAUUACCCCCUAAAUCUAAUCUAAUGAUAGAAAAAAUAUUCCCAUGCAUGUGAAAUUGUGAAGGCCCUUUUCCCAACCAAUCCAAAUGUAGCCCCCCUUUUUGUCUCACUAACCGUCAAAAUUCCAUGAAAAAGUAAUUAUCAAAAUGGACCAUCAUAAUCAUUGAGUUAAUCAAGAUUAGUGGCAUAACGGGAUUUUGGCCGACGUGUAACAGUAAUCAAGGGUAAUUUGGUAAUUUCGGUGGUCCUCCAUACCCAAAGUUUAAAUGCUAGCUGUGUAUGAGAGUGACCUGAAAACACUCGUCUGAGUGCUUUUAUUGCGCUGCUUUCCCCAAAAGGCCCACAAUCUCUACACUCACUAAACAAUUCAUGGGAAAGAAAAAGAUUUCAUUUUUUUUAGAGCGAGAAGAGGAAGAGGGAAGGGAGAUAAAGAGCAGGAAUUUAACCGUUAAAGGCGGCGCUUGAAAAGGGCUGUAACGUUGGGGAGGGAGGAAAAAGAAGCUGACUUUGCUGUUAAAUUCUGGGUUUUAUUUGUGAUGGUCAAAUUUGAAUGUGCUUAGUUUAAAGUGGGCUCUUCUCUCUGUUUGUAAAAAUGCAGUCUUUUUCUUUCACACACUGGAUGGAUUUGAUUAUUUGAAUUGUUGUUAGUUGGGUUUUGUGUAGAGCUAGUAGUUUGGCAUAGAUCUGUUGGGAGAUUUGAGCUUGUGAUGUUUUUGUUUCUGGGGAUUUGGGUAGUUGGAUUAUAGGAGCCUAGGAGGGAACGUGACAUUCUUGAUUCUCCUUCUCUCUCUCUCCUAGUAAUUAUUUUUCUGUUUUUCGAGUUUCUUUCCUCUUUGUCACGGGAUGCUAGCGUUUAAAAAUGGUAAUGAGGGAUUGAUUUGGUAUAUAUUAGGUGAAUUCAAUUGGGAUUCUAUUCAAAGAAUCAAAGUUUAGGGGGAAAAAGAAUUUGAUAAAGGAAAGCAAGAAUUUGGGGUUUAAACUUUAGAGAAAGAAGGAAAAUGGGUUGCUUUUCUUGCAUAAGUCCUCCCAAUAAGGAUGUGAGGGAUUAUAACGGAGGAGAUAUAGACCCAAGAAUCACUAAUUCUUCAGGUUAACACCAUUCAUGUAUUCGUGUGUUCUCUUCAAUUUGAAUGUGUGGAUCAUUGUUGGUUGUAUGACUAUGAUGAAUGUGUUUUGAAUUUUAAUGUGCUUAUUUGGUUUCUUGAUGUGCAGUUGGUGGGAAGCGAAAGGCGAAUGCCAAUGGUAGUGGUGAGAUCAUGAGCAUAUAGCUUUUGAAAUUUGGCCUAUAUUUAUUGUCUAUGGGCCUAUGGCUUGUUUUUGCUGUUGUUCGAGAUUUGGAUAUUAAUUUGAUGCAUUGUCUUACUUGUUUUUGCUGCUGUUUGAGUUUUGUAGUGAGCGUGAAGAAAGGAAGUGUUGCUAGAGCAAAGGGAAAGGAUGGCAACAAUCCCUCAAAGGGCAAUGCUGCUCGUAGCUUCACCUUCAAGGAGCUUGCUCUGGCCACUCAGAACUUUAGGGAGGCUAAUUUGAUUGGCGAAGGAGGUUUUGGGAGCGUCUACAAAGGCCGCCUCGAAUCUGGCUUGGUAUAUAUGUUAUGUUUUCAUUGUUCUUGAGAUAUUGAGCUUUACAAGUAUGCAAAAUAUUUUGAUUAAAGAAGAGAUUUGUUGAAAUUAAAUUUGGUGUUUUACAUAGAUGAUUGAUGGCCACCGAGAAACUGGCUUGGUAAAUUUGUUAUGUUUUUCUGAUUUUGAGAUUUUGAAGUUACAAGUAUGCACAUAUGUUUGAAUGAAGAAGGGAUUUGUUGGAAUGGAAUUUGGUGUGUUGCUUAGAUGAUUGAUGCCAACUUACGCUUAAUAAGGAGUUUCACACGUUGGCUUCCACGAGCAGGUUGUUGCUGUGAAGCAGCUCAAUCUUGAAGGGCUGCAAGGGAAUCAAGAAUUCAUUGUUGAGGUUCUGAUGCUCAGCCUGUUGCAUCACCCAAACCUCGUGAACUUGAUCGGUUAUUGCACUGAUGGUGAUCAGAGGCUCCUUGUUUAUGAGUUCAUGCAGUUGGGUAGCUUGG
rnacentral:lncRNA from 1 species